rnacentral:rRNA from 1 species
AGCGGAACAUAAAAGUAGCUUGCUACUUAGAUGUCGAGCGGCGGACGGGUGAGUAAUGCUUGGGGAACUGCCCAGUCGAGGGGGACAACUAUUGGAAACGAUAGCUAAUACCGCAUACGCCCUACGGGGGAAAGGAGGGGACUCUUCGGAGCCUUUCGCGAUUGGAUGUACCCAAGUGGGAUUAGCUAGUUGGUGAGGUAAUGGCUCACCAAGGCGACGAUCCCUAGCUGGUUUGAGAGGAUGAUCAGCCACACUGGAACUGAGACACGGUCCAGACUCCUACGGGAGGCAGCAGUGGGGAAUAUUGCACAAUGGGCGCAAGCCUGAUGCAGCCAUGCCGCGUGUAUGAAGAAGGCCUUCGGGUUGUAAAGUACUUUCAGCGAGGAGGAAAGGUUAGUAGUUAAUAACUGCUAGCUGUGACGUUACUCGCAAAAGAAGGACCGGCUAACUCCGUGCCAGCAGC